UCCCCAUGAGAGGUGCAGGCUGAGCACAAGGCAGCACAUGGGACAGAUGAGAUAGUGUGACUCCCCAUUUGUGCUCUCUGCCCCUCUUAAG
ensembl:miRNA Mir7063 microRNA 7063